GCAGCAUUUACUCAACAAGCUCCAAGGAGCAACAGGAACCAUUCAGAUCCUGUUUAGACAAAACGUUCGGUGUUUUGGUCUCGGGGGGGAAACGCAUGCUCAGAGCGCUGAGAGGAGGCCCACCUUAUUCGUGAUGUUAAACAACCGGAUUUGCUGGAUGACCCCUGAAUUUUGGAGCUUCGGCCCAGGAUAUGAUGUAGCGGUGGGAUCCGGACCUUGUGAAAAAAUACCCUUUUCACGUCGCCCCGUUGAGCCUCUUAAAGCCGUGGCAUGGAGCCCGUGUUGCCAUGGAACUUAGUGAUUCACAGGACACAUUCAUCAAGGGAAUUUCUGUGUGGUGUGUAUGCUCAUGUGUGAGUGUGUGGGUUUUGUGUGUGUGUGAUUGGGGUUCAGUGGAUACAUCCUGUUUUCCAGAAGUUUGAAAUUAAAGCAUACAUUUAUGAUCUAGCUCGUAAAGAUAACACUCGACUACAGACUUUUUUGUGAUUCCGACGUAUCGCGCGACGGCAUAAAAAAAAGCGCAUCCUGGCAGAAAUAAAAGAAAUUAUGACUCUUUUUUAUUAUCAGACAUUUUUAUCCAAAGCCAUCAUAGUGCUGGGA